rnacentral:rRNA from 1 species
AGCAGCCGCGGUAAUUCCAGCUCCAAUAGCGUAUAUUAAAGUUGUUGCAGUUAAAAAGCUCGUAGUUGAAUUUCGGGAUCAAUAUAUCGGUCGUGCCUUGGUACGUACUGGUAUCAUUGGUUUCUCCUUUCUGACGAACCAUGAUGUCAUUAAUUUGGUGUUAUGGGAAGUUAGGGGCUGUUACUUUGAAAAAAAUUAGAGUGUUUAAAGCAGGCUUGACUUGAAUACAUUAGCAUGGAAUAAUGAAAAUAGGACGUUCGAACCUAUUUUGUUGGUUUCUAGGAUCAACGUAAUGAUUAAUAGGGAUAGUUGGGGGGCAUUAGUAUUCAAUUGUCAGAGGUGAAAUUCUUGGAUUUAUUGAAGACUAACUACUGCGAAAGCAUUUUGCCAAAGGAUGUUUUCAUUAAUCAAGAACGAAAGUUAGGGGAUCGAAGACGAUCAGAUACCGUCGUAGUCUUAACCAUAAACUAUGCCGACUAGGGAUCGGAUGAUGUUAAUUUUUUAAUGACUCAUUCGGCGC